GAAUGGUAGAACUUUAAUUUACAGUGAGCAUAUAAUUUCUGUUCCUUGUGCAAUUACUGAAUGCAUCAAGGGGGGCAUUUCGUGUUCGAAGAGCUCUUGUUUAUAUAUUGACAUUAAAGAUCAAUAGCAUAAACACACAUCUCGAGACAAUAGAUAUAAUAUCGCAGCAUAUAAAAACUACCUCAAAAUUCAGACCUAAAAAUGCCCCAGAAGCCACCAUUUCAUGCCUGUAUUUCAAAAUUUUCCAGUGGGAGAGCCACCUGACCCCCUAAAAUAAGGACUGUACAGCCACCAAUAAAUGCACUAGAAGUCACCAUUUCAUACCUACAUUUCAACGAAAUUCAAUACCCACUAAUAUGGGCAAAGGCACCCCUUCAAUUCCUCGCUCUGCUUCUUGGCAGUUACAUUUUCUUUCUGGACUGGUGGCACCCACCUCAUCCCCAGUCAAACUUUCUUAGGGCUUAUAUGUAUGGUAAUUGGAUAAAAAAAACAGCAGCCAGGUAACACUUUAUCUGAUAAUACCUCCUAGUUUCUGUCACAAUAUUCCUAGAUGUUCCUGCUUUUUUCAUAGUUUUCUGUGUGAAAUAUUCCUUAGGUUUUCUCCUAGUUUUUUCAAAUGUAUUGCUGGAGAGCCUGCAUAUAUAAAAUUCCUCAAUAAUGCAAAAUUUUAAUAAUCAGUAUUUUUACACCAAUCAAACAAUUAUUGACUAACAAGAACAAAUCAGUUACAAUGUGAAAAUUGUGCUAGAACUAGCAAUCUUUCUUUUUAUGCCCCCUGGAGAUGAACAUAUUAAAAUCGCAUUCUGUUCGUGUGUCUAUCCGUCCGUGUAAAUUCGUGUCCGGUUCAUAACUCUGCCAUUUAUCAGGGGAUUUAUUUAAAAUCUUUGCCCUUGGUUAUUCUUUUGGUCACUUUGUCAUUGGAGAGUUAUUUCCCUUUAUUUAGGCCUUUGCGUGUGUGUAUCAGUUUUAUUGAUCAAUGUUCUAUUUUCAGUAUGAAAUAGUGCUACAUUAUGGGCACUUCAAUACUAAGGUCACUUUUUAAAAGAGCUCAAUCUAAGCCUUAUCCACAAUUAAAGUCUGUGACCUCUGUGUUAGGACGUACAGUUUGAUUCAGAAAAAAUAUCUGUCCUUAAUACAGGAGUUUCACUACGCUAUCACAGUGUUCAAAAUAUGAAACUAGGAUUCAGAAUUAUGCUUCUGUUGUAAAAUUCUAAAUAAGUGAAAUGUGUAUAUACAAAAUUAAAUUGAGUAAUUUAAGUUAUUGUCUAUAUUUAUUUAGUUCAUAAUUUUUAACUUUUACUUUUAUUUCAGAGUAUUAAUCCAGCAGCUUUGUUGAAAACACACAUAACUGGGGUGAUUAGUCAUGGACAUGGCAUGUUUGCUUCUUUCCUGGAUAUACUGCAGUUUCCACAUGACCCAAAUCUUACAAUCAAUGUGCUUUUAAGCUUUUAUUUCUGCUUUCUCAGAAAUCUACCAACUUCAAAAAUAAAACAGUUAAAACUAAACUAUAAAAACAUUCUAGAAAAAAUUGAGGCAAUUAAAAAACAAAUCAGUACAAUCAGUUACAUGUUUGAAAGCAGUGAAACUCAUCUUUGGUGGAAAGCUUUUUUGGAGAAAUUAAAUACAGUGAUGCCAAUGAGAACAAAAGAAGACAUUAUAUGGAUUACCCGACAACCAAAACAGCAAAAAAAAAACAACAACAAAGAAACAUUAAAGACAGCCUGGAUCCAAUACUUAGAAAGAUGUUGGAAAAGGAAACAAGUAGACCUCACCUGUGUUAUAAAUCCUGUGAAAGAAGAUGAUCGAAAUUUAAAAACAAGCCGAGAGAAGCAGAAGUCGAAAAAAAGCAGAGCGCAUCCAAGGAGGAAGAAGUGGUGUUAACUAUCAAACCACUGUAGUAUAGGUCAAUAGAAAAAAACUAAAUCAACAACAUCAGCAGUGCCAAAGAGAAAGACAAACAGGAAGGCGAAUCAUGAGAUGGAAGAGCUCAAGAUGGAUCGCCAUACUCACCAAUGAUGAGAGGAAAAGACACAUAUGGUUGAUAAUCCUCUUCGAACUUCUGGGACAUUUACUACUAUACAUUAUCUAUGUUUUUAUAAUGACCAGAUGUAUCAAAGAACUUUUUAUUAUGAUGGACAGAGUUUGGAAAGCUAUUUUGUUAGCACACAUGGGUCAGUUUCUGUGUGUUCUUACAGUAAACACAUACUUGGAACACUUUUGUUUUGUGUUUUGUAAUGUUAACAAGUCAUUUCCUGGCAGUUUAUUGGUUUCGUAUCCUUUCUGGCAUUCACUUAGUAUUACGCAAUAAACAGAUCAGCACAUUUUUAAGAUCACCUGAAGACAAAGCACUCAAAGGUAUUAUUGUGAUCUCCUUUUUGUCCGUUGUCAAUCUGUAUCUCUUUUUACAUUUAGCUAUAUGAAGCUUGGUCAGAAUGUUUGUCUUCAUAAAAUCUCGGCCAAGUUCGAAAGUGGAUCAUGUAGGUUUAAAAAGUAGUUCACAAGAUCAAAUUACAGAUAAACCUUGUGAACACUCUAGAAAUUUUUAAGUAUUAAGGUAUUAGAUCAUUAAUAGAGAACCUCCUUUUUGAAGAAAAUCUCCAGUACCAUAAACCUACUUUUACUGCAA
rnacentral:lncRNA from 1 species